UGGGGAAUAUUGGGCAAUGGGCGCAAGCCUGACCCAGCAACGCCGCGUGAAGGAAGAAGGCUUUCGGGUUGUAAACUUCUUUUGGCAGGGACGAAAAAAAUGACGGUACCUGCAGAAUAAGCUCCGGCUAACUACGUGCCAGCAGCCGCGGUAAUACGUAGGGAGCAAGCGUUAUCCGGAUUUACUGGGUGUAAAGGGCGCGUAGGCGGGAAUGCAAGUCAGAUGUGAAAUCUGGGGGCUCAACCCCCAAACUGCAUUUGAAACUGUAUUUCUUGAGUGAUGGAGAGGCAAGUGGAAUUCCUAGUGUAGCGGUGAAAUGCGUAGAUAUUAGGAGGAACACCAGUGGCGAAGGCGACUUGCUGGACAUUAACUGACGCUGAGGCGCGAAAGCGUGGGGAGCAAACA
rnacentral:rRNA from 1 species